AAUCAUCCUCUUCUUCUUCUUUCAAACCCUCGUUCAUCUCCCACUGUAAGUUACAAUUCAUACGUGUUUUUCUUGUGUUCAUAUAUCCCUCUAUUUCUUAUAAGUCAAAAACUAAAUGACACAUUAAGGCAAAAAGUUCUUUCUAAAUUUCACAGCCUCAUGUCUUCUAUAUAUGCAAAAGCAAAUGAUGACACUUUACAAUUUUGAAACUAUGUGAUUCUCACAUUCGACUCCACACCGUCUACUACCCCCACUACUCCAUUGUACUAAUAAAUGUAUUUCUUCUUUAUCCAUUUACAAUUUUAAAUCAUAACAUUUUUUGAUUCAGUAGUGAUUCUUAAUUACUAGAUCUUCUGAUAUUCUCUUUUUUUUUUUUUUUUCCAGGAGCAGUUAUCAGUUUAAGAACACCGUCAAUAGAAGAACAUAUAAUGAAGGAGAAGAAAAAUAUUGACCGAAGAAUUCUCAUGUGGAGAUUUAACAUUUUUUUUACCAUUUUUCUUUUGCUGAAUUCAUCCUCUUCAUGUUUUUGGAGGCCUUCUAUAUCUUCUUUUUUUUCAUAUUGUAUCUUCAUUGGAAUGAAGAAAAAGAAAAAAAAAAGUAAUGAAAAAAUCUUUUAAUUGAUUUAUUUCUUGACAUAAAUGUAUAGAUCGAUAUUAAUAAAAAAAUACUUAAGAAC
rnacentral:lncRNA from 1 species